UUACAUUUUGCCGAAUGUCGCCGAAAUGCCGCCGGAAUUCAUUUCUGUAGGAAAUACCCAUUUUUGGCUAAAGUUCCGUCCUUUGGGCUUAAAACUCUCGACUGAGCUUAGCGUUAGUAGGAUUAGUCGUCAUAAUCGUCGUUGGUGUCGACCCCAUCUAAUUUGUUUUUCGAAAUUUCAGUUUUGAAUUUCUGAGCUAAAAAUAUUGACCAAAAUACCCCUGCGACAGUUUUCGACCCGAUAAUUUUUCUGAGAGUUUCCCUGGCCUAGAUAUCGCCUAGGAAUACCUAGGAAUCGAUUUAGACCGAAGAAAAAGUUCGGAAACCCUAUUUUACAUAGUGGCCGAAACCUAUUGCUUAGGGUACCGUGUCCAAAAAUAAUUUUUGAGUCUCUAUGACCUGAGCCAUUGCGUAGCUCUUUUGAUUGUCGAAAUUUUGGCGCUGGUUUCAUGUCAUUCCGAGUUCUGUAGCUCGAGUUAUGCUCGUUUUAGCGAACGAAGUUCCGUUGUCAAUUCGUGCCUUAAGAGGAACUCUGAAGCUUUAAAAGCUUUCUUUCCGGUUUCGAUUAGCGUUAUUAGAUAGUGUUACUUCUAGUAGGGCUUGUGUUGAUGAUUGUGUUUCCUUGUUCUAGGUUCACAACUUCCAUGCCCAACUUCUACUCACGAAGGCGAUGGUGAGCCUUCCGCUGAAGCUUAGCUGUUCGAGUCGGAGACCGUGAUCGUGGGCGGUCGAGUAGAGGUGGAUGAAGCAGUUGCUUCUCCCUUUUUGGUGGACUAUGUUUGAGUUUCUUUUUCCUUAUGAAAACUCUGUUGUUUAAACCUUAUUUCGCCACUGUUAAAGUGUGCGUACUUAUUUUGGAAACUUGUUCAUGAUGAUGUAAGACACUAUUAUUAUUAUGUCGGGAACGGGUUGUUGAAUAAAGUCUAUGUUAUAUAUUCAA